CUACGUGCCAGCAGCCGCGGUAAUACGGAAGGUCCGGGCGUUAUCCGGAUUUAUUGGGUUUAAAGGGAGCGUAGGCUGGAGAUUAAGUGUGUUGUGAAAUGUAGACGCUCAACGUCUGACUUGCAGCGCAUACUGGUUUCCUUGAGUACGCACAACGUUGGCGGAAUUCGUCGUGUAGCGGUGAAAUGCUUAGAUAUGACGAAGAACUCCGAUUGCGAAGGCAGCUGACGGGAGCGCAACUGACGCUGAAGCUCGAAGGUGCGGGUAUCGAACAGGAUUAGAUACCCUGGUAGUCCGCACAGUAAACGAUGGAUGCCCGCUGUUGGUACCUGGUAUCAGCGGCUAAGCGAAAGCAUUAAGCAUCCCACCUGGGGAGUACGCCGGCAACGGUGAAACUCAAAGGAAUCGACGGGGGCCCGCACAAGCGGAGGAACAUGUGGUUUAAUUCGAUGAUACGCGAGGAACCUUACCCGGGCUUGAAUUGCAGAGGAAUUAUUUAGAGAUA
rnacentral:rRNA from 1 species